UACGUAGGGGGCAAGCGUUGUCCGGAUUUAUUGGGCGUAAAGAGCGUGUAGGCGGCCAUACAGGUCAGCUGUGAAAACUCGAGGCUCAACCUCGAGACGUCGGUUGAAACCGUAUGGCUAGAGUCCGGAAGAGGAGAGUGGAAUUCCCGGUGUAGCGGUGAAAUGCGCAGAUAUCGGGAAGAACACCCGUGGCGAAGGCGGCUCUCUGGGCCGAUACUGACGCUGAGGAGCGAAAGCGUGGGGAGCGAACAGG
rnacentral:rRNA from 1 species